AUCAAGCAUAUAUUCAAUUUUCAAUUUUAAACUUUAUCUAUGAUGUUGGAUAAAAGAGGUCUCUGUUGGCUUUAACGCUUUACUUCUGCUUUUGUUAACCUUCCACUGUCUCACGGGCCAUCUCUCACCCCAUAUUCCUUCAAGCCACCGCUUUCUCCUUAACAGUAAAGAAAGCCAAAACCAUUCAUCCGCUGUCUACCAUCCGCACAUUGAAGCCCCACCAUUGCCUGAUAGCCCAGAGAAAUGGGCCCAAGAUUGUCCAAGGAGAUGAAAGCGUGUUUGGCAGAGAAUAGAGACCAAUUAAUUGCCACUCAGUCUGGGUAGAGCCCUAGGGAGGCUAGGGAACCCAGCGCUCUAGCCUAAGGCGCUCUGAGGUGACGGUCAUAGUGUCUCCCGUGUGUCCUCCUAUGGUCGAGCUACCUACAGCUGAUCCCUCGAGUGUGACGGCUUUUGAUCCACCAGUUGCUCUUCCUGCUGGCUAAAAAACUAUUGUGCCAAAGAGAAAAAAGAAAAGGCAGUGAGGUGGUGCCGAUGAGCCUCACUCUCCAAUCUCUGAGAAAGGGCUUGAGUUAUGGAUCGCGAUGAGAAGGAAGUAUGGGAAGGAUGCCUUGGUCAGUAGCGGCCAAGUCGCCCGGGCUCUGGCUGCGCAGUGUGCUCUUCCUGCCGACUUGGUUCAACUAGAGGGCCUGAAAGAGGAAUCGUUUCUUAAUCAAAUCGAUAGUGGGCUUCUAAUGGUGUUUCCUCUUACAUUCCUUGAUUUUUCAUGCUUUUCUCUUCCUUUUCUCAUUUCGCUUAUGUAUUGCGAUCUUUUGUGGUUCUGUUUGUUUCAAUUGGUGAGUGCCUAUAAUGAUACCCGUUGCUACGUAAAGGAAUCACGAGAGCUGGUCACUACUCUGACUAAGGACUUAAAGGUUGAAAAGUCUAAAGUUGAAAAGUUGGAGAACUCUGUCCAAACCUAAGCAUUGGAGCAUAGCCGCUUUGUGGAAAAAUAGAAGGACAAGAUCCAAUCUAUCUCCAAGGAUAGGGACACACAUCUCGACUCCUCCCUCAAGCUCAGUGCUCGGGUGGAGCAAUUCAUUAAGCAAGAGGAAGAACGCAUUGUCACCAUCCAACAACUCCAAGCUGACCUUGCCCGGGUUGACGAUACUGCCUCCGUAAUCACUCGCUCGGUUAAUGAUAUGUUAUUGCAUCAGUCGGAUCUCAUUGUGGUUGAGCUUCAAUCUAGGUUUCUUGAUAAGGAUUGGAGCUUUGUUAGCCAGAUUGAUGCAUAUCAGAACUUAGAUGAUGAGGAGGAAGUGGCUGCGGAGGCUGGAAUCUUAAGUGAGGGUGUGCAAGAUCCUGCUAUGGUUUGCGCCCUUAGGCUAUAACCCAGGGAUAAAUAGUACCGAGAUGCUAAAUAACAGAUUAUACAGAGUUCUUAUCAGAGGUAUAGGUCGCACCAUGUUCUGAGAAGUGGAAACCAACAUAAAAAAAUUUCUUACUCUUUACAUACAGUCAUAUUCAAGACAACACAUAGUAAAAAUAUAUCUUUUAUAUGGUUGACCAUAUAUAGUACAAUCUCCCUUAAUACAUGUAUACAAAACUGAGGAGGUGACAUAUGCAGACACAACUGAUCCUGAUCUUAGUUCCGUUUCUGCCA